UACGUAGGGUGCAAGCGUUACUCGGAAUUACUGGGCGUAAAGCGUGCGCAGGCGGUUAUGCAAGUCAGAUGUGAAAUCCCCGGGCUUAACCUGGGAACCGCAUUUGUGACUGCAUAGCUGGAGUACGGCAGAGGGGGAUGGAAUUCCGCGUGUAGCAGUGAAAUGCGUAGAUAUGCGGAGGAACACCGAUGGCGAAGGCAGUCCCCUGGGCCUGUACUGACGCUCAUGCACGAAAGCGUGGGGAGCAAACAGG
rnacentral:rRNA from 1 species